rnacentral:rRNA from 1 species
UGCCUCUAGCAAAUACUUGAUGUAUUAGAGGUACUGCCUGCCCAGUGAUAAUUAUUUAACGGCCGCGGUAUCCUGACCGUGCAAAGGUAGCAUAAUCACUUGUCUUUUAAAUAAAGACUAGUAUGAACGGCAAAACGAAGGCUUAACUGUCUCCUCUGUCCAGUCAGUGAAAUUGAUCCCCCUGUACAAAAGCAGGAAUACAACCACAAGACGAGAAGACCCUAUGGAGCUUUAAACGCACAUGCAACUAAAACCUUAAAUUUAGCUAUGACAUAUCGUUUUCGGUUGGGGCGACCACGGAGAACAACACACCCUCCGCCCACGCUAGCACAAUCUGGCUACACCAAGAAACACAUUACAACGUGCCGAAAAUUCGGCCAUAUUUGACCCAAUAUUUGAUCAACGAACCAAGUUACCCUAGGGAUAACAGCGCAAUCCUAUCAAAGAGUCCAUAUCGAUGAUUGGGUUUACGACCUCGAUGUUGGAUCAGGGCACCCAAACAGUGCAGCAGCUGUUAAAGGUUCGUUUGUUCAACGAUUAAAGCCCU